rnacentral:tRNA from 1 species
GGCUUCGUAACUUAGCUGGUAGAGCGUUUGCCGCGUAGAGGCACGGUGCUUCUGUCGCUGGUUCGAAUCCAGCCGGAGCCC